rnacentral:rRNA from 1 species
CAGAGGGCGCGAGCGUUGUUCGGAAUUACUGGGCGUAAAGCGCGCGCAGGCGGACCUGUGCGUCCGGAGUGAAAUCUCGCCGCUCAACGGCGAGGCUGCUUUGGAAACGGCAGGUCUGGGGACCGGUAGAGGCUGGUAGAAUUGCAGGUGUAGCGGUGGAAUGCGUAGAGAUCUGCAAGAAUACCCGUGGCGAAGGCGGCCAGCUGGGCCGGAUCCGACGCUGAGGCGCGAAAGCGUGGGGAGCAAACAGGAUUAGAUACCCUGGUAGUCCACGCCGUAAACGAUGGGCACUAGGUGCCGGGGGGAGCGACCCCGUCGGUGCCGCAGCUAACGCGUUAAGUGCCCCGCCUGGGGAGUACGGCCGCAAGGCUG